rnacentral:rRNA from 1 species
GACGAACGCUGGCGGCGUGCCUAAUACAUGCAAGUUGAGCGCUGAAGGUUGGUACUUGUACCAACUGGAUGAGCAGCGAACGGGUGAGUAACGCGUGGGGAAUCUGCCUUUGAGCGGGGGACAACAUUUGGAAACGAAUGCUAAUACCGCAUAAAAACUUUAAACACAAGUUUUAAGUUUGAAAGAUGCAAUUGCAUCACUCAAAGAUGAUCCCGCGUUGUAUUAGCUAGUUGGUGAGGUAAAGGCUCACCAAGGCGAUGAUACAUAGCCGACCUGAGAGGGUGAUAGGCCACAUUGGGACUGAGACACGGCCCAAACUCCUACGGGAGGCAGCAGUAGGGAAUCUUCGGCAAUGGACGAAAGUCUGACCGAGCAACGCCGCGUGAGUGAAGAAGGUUUUCGGAUCGUAAAACUCUGUUGGUAGAGAAGAACGUUGGUGAGAGUGGAAAGCUCAUAAAGUGACGGUAACUACCCAGAAAGGGACGGCUUACUACGUG